CCUACGGGGGGCAGCAGUGGGGAAUAUUGCACAAUGGGGGAAACCCUGAUGCAGCGACGCCGCGUGAGUGAAGAAGUCAUUCGUUAUGUAAAGCUCUAUCAGCAGGGAAGAAAAUGACGGUACCUGAGUAAGCAGCCCCGGCUAACUACGUGCCAGCAGCCGCGGUAAUCCGUAGGGGGCAAGCGUUAUCCGGAUUUACUGGGUGUGAAGGGAGCGUAGACGGCAGUGCAAGUCUGGAGUGAAAGGCGGGGGCUCAACCCCCGGACUGCUCUGGAAACUGUACGGCUGGAGUGCAGGAGAGGUAAGUGGAAUGCCUAGUGUAGCGGUGAAAUGCGUAGAUAUUAGGAGGAACACCAGUGGCGAAGGCAGCUUACUGGACUGUAACUGACGUUGAGGCUCGAAAGCGUGGGGAGCGAACAGGAUUAGAUACCCUUGUAGUC
rnacentral:rRNA from 1 species